GACGAACGCUGGCGGCGUGCUUAACACAUGCAAGUCGAACGGUAAGGCCCUUCGGGGUACACGAGUGGCGGACGGGUGAGUAACACGUGGGUGAUCUGCCCUGCACUUCGGGAUAAGCCUGGGAAACUGGGUCUAAUACCGGAUAGGACCACUGCCUGCAUGGGUGGUGGUGGAAAGCUUUUGCGGUGUGGGAUGGGCCCGCGGCCUAUCAGCUUGUUGGUGGGGUAAUGGCCUACCAAGGCGACGACGGGUAGCCGGCCUGAGAGGGUGACCGGUCACACUGGGACUGAGAUACGGCCCAGACUCCUACGGGAGGCAGCAGUGGGGAAUAUUGCACAAUGGGCGCAAGCCUGAUGCAGCGACGCCGCGUGAGGGAUGACGGCCUUCGGGUUGUAAACCUCUUUCAGCUAUGACGAAGCGCAAGUGACGGUAGUAGCAGAAGAAGGACCGGCCAACUACGCGCCAGCCGCCGCCGUAA
rnacentral:rRNA from 1 species